rnacentral:rRNA from 1 species
AUUGAACGCUGGCGGCAUGCUUUACACAUGCAAGUCGAACGGCAGCGCGGGCUUCGGCCUGGCGGCGAGUGGCGAACGGGUGAGUAAUACAUCGGAACGUGCCCAGUAGUGGGGGAUAGCUCGGCGAAAGCCGGAUUAAUACCGCAUACGACCUGAGGGUGAAAGCGGGGGAUCUUCGGACCUCGCGCUAUUGGAGCGGCCGAUGGCAGAUUAGCUAGUUGGUGGGGUAAAGGCCUACCAAGGCGACGAUAUGUAGCUGGUCUGAGAGGACGACCAGCCACACUGGGACUGAGACACGGCCCAGACUCCUACGGGAGGCAGCAGUGGGGAAUUUUGGACAAUGGGCGAAAGCCUGAUCCAGCAAUGCCGCGUGUGUGAUGAAGGCCUUCGGGUUGUAAAGCACUUUUGGCGGGAACGAAAAGGACUGUGCCAAUACCACGGUUCGAUGACGGUACCCGCAGAAUAAGCACCGGCUAACUACGUG